ensembl:miRNA mdo-mir-7286 mdo-mir-7286
AGGAGCUUACAUUCUACUGGGGGAGUUCUUGGAACCUAUUUUAGAUUAUAAGCUCCUGG